GCAGUCAUGGCCUAAUGGUUAGAGAGUCAGACUUGUAACCCGAAGGUGGUUGUGGGUUCGAGUCUCAGGUCUGGCAGCG